rnacentral:rRNA from 1 species
AGCGAACGCUGGCGGCAGGCUUAACACAUGCAAGUCGAGCGGGCAUCCUUGUGGUGUCAGCGGCAGACGGGUGAGUAACGCGUGGGAACGUGCCCUUCGGUUAGGAAUAACUCAGGGAAACUUGAGCUAAUACCGGAUACGUGCGAGAGCAGAAAGGUUUAUCUGCCGAAGGAUCGGCCCGCGUCUGAUUAGCUAGUUGGUGAGGUUAUGGCUCACCAAGGCGACGAUCAGUAGCUGGUCUGAGAGGAUGAUCAGCCACACUGGGACUGAGACACGGCCCAGACUACUACGGGAGGCAGCAGUGGGGAAUAUUGGACAAUGGGGGCAACCCUGAUCCAGCCAUGCCGCGUGAGUGAUGACGGCCUUAGGGUUGUAAAGCUCUUUUAUCCGGGACGAUAAUGACGGUACCGGAGGAAUAAGCCCCGGCUAACUUCGUG